UCACAGGGACAGCUGUAGCAGGAAGGGAAGAAACUUCUGACCAGGUACCCAUCAAAUGAUGACAUGAGAUAUGUGACCUUCCAAAUAGAAUUCUGGAGCAUCUGUUUAAAAAUGAGGGAUGCCUUCAUAAAGUCAUGCACAUUAACUUAUACUGGCACAAGUGCUUUUACAAAGAGUAAAUUGCUCACUGGAAAAAAAUACAGCUAUGACUUUGAAGGUUGUGUUAAAUUACUAAGUUCAGUUGAAAGCGGAUCACAGUCCUUGUAACCUGAUUCUCUACUGCCUUACUGUGUGUACUCAGGAACUCCACUGAAGAUGAAGGCUUUUGCAAAAAAUAUCAAAAUAUUUAUGUUUCAAGGAGAAUAAGUGCAGGAAAAUUUUAAAGGAAAAACAUUUAUUGAAAGGUAAUUCAGGAGAAAGUCAGAUAUAUGAACCCUGUUAUCUAGACCAAUUCUUUGAUUUUUUUAACAUUUCUGCCCCUACAGUCAAGCACUGCAGUAGAAUUUUCUUAAUACAGGGAUACUGUGUGGUGCAAGGACAGAGGAAGGAUUAUUAACCACUUGGUGCACAUUUCCUGUGAAGAUGAGAGAAGCAAAAUAGAAUUAUUUGUUCAUUCAUUAGGUAAAUUUAGUCACCAUUACAUUAUUUAUGUUUGCAUUGCUCCUUUUAUCCCACACAAACCAUGGAGAGAUUUCUGUGCUUUUUGGCAGACAAGGAGGUUUUACUAGAAUAGAUGCUGUUUAGGAAGGAACAAGUUUUGAGUGAGUAUUUGAGUAUUUAUGUAAAAGAAUCUAGACAGUAUCCAUAAAACACACUUUGAUCUUACUUACUUACAUUUGUGCUUUUUUUUUCAAAAGGCCCUUGACGAAUACACUUAUGCAACAUUCACUGUGCACUGCCUGUAGCCACAUGCCACUGGUGCAGGGUGUUUGAAUGGCAUCCAUUUCACACCGUACAGGGAUCCCUUUGGCCCCUAUCUGAAUGCCCAAGCUGGAUGCAUCCCAUCUGGUGGUGUACCUUCAAUCAAACAUUUGCUAUUUGCCAAAGAGAAAGAUAUAAUUGUCUGCCAAGACAACCUAACUUGCAUCUCAAGGGAGUAAAUCCUUCUAUGUUUCAAGCUGGCACAGCUCCACAAAACAGUUAUGCCAAUUAUUUCUAGCCAGGGAAAUAAUACUUACCACUAGGUGUAAAGCUGCUUGUACUGAAGCUGUUGAAAUUACUAUCAUUAUGUUAUUUCUUGGCAUGGAAAGGAAAAAGAUGAGUGAGUGUUUGGGGGGCUUUGUUUAAGUGCAACAGGCCGCUUAUUCAUGCAAACUGCUGAAAGCCACCGGGAAGUAAGCACAGCGAGGAGGGUGAACUUCUUGGAAAACCAGAUCUUAUAUUUAACUUGGUAAGGAGACAAAGACAUUUCUUAAUGAAACCUAAAAAGCCUCCAGAUCUGCCAGUUCCUUCAGAAAGGAAAAGCCUUUCUCAAUGUGUUAGAUUAACACUGCAGUACUUAUUGUGCUGUUGCUUUUAUGACUCUUACAGAAAUCUUUCCCACACCUCCUGCAGGAGCUACUUGUGUAGUGCCAAUGCUCAGAAAAACCAUCACAUGGUUUUCCUCCACCUGAAAAAUGAUUUUGAAUAUUUGUUUUGUUUCACAUGGUCUGUAAUGCUAUUCACACUCUGUUCUUGAAGCUGGGAGAAAAACUCUUCUUCAGACAAAAAAUUAGAGGGGUCUGAAGGAAACUUUAAAGAGUUUGAAGAGCUUAAACUGGAUGUAGGUUGGGGUACACAACAUUGUCCCCCUCUCAUGCAGCAGGGCUCCUGCAGCUGCAUAUACUGGGCCAAGUUGCAUCAGUACUUCAUAGCCAGUGUUACAUCUGGUCUAGAUGUUGUAUUGCAACCAGGUCAACACAGCACCUCUUCUGAAGAUGGUAUUUCUUCACAAGCUUACAGCAAAGCUCCAGCACAGCCAGGGAGCUGCACUGAGGCUCCGACAGCAGGUACUGCCUCAGGCUGCCCGAGACGUGCCCAAACGGAGGGCCAGGAGCCACACUGCACACCCCUGGCACCGCUCUGGCUUUGCCAUCAGAGACAAGACCACGCUCACACAUUCAUUACACUUCAUUCCUCAUAACACAGCACAGCCCUUCGCAGUCCACAAUACGAUAUGGUGGGGAUGGUCUUAUUUGGUCUAAGGUUGGACUUGAUCAUCUCGAAGGGCUUUUUCAACUUUAAUGAUUCGACCAUUUCUGUAUUUUCUCCUUGGAGCGUGACCCGAAGCAGCGAGGAAUGUGUCAUGGGGCGACAGCGUGGUGUGAGGGGAGCCACUGCCAGCACGGCCUCACCGCGGUGUGAGGGGAGCCACUGCCAG